rnacentral:tRNA from 1 species
GUAAAUAUAGUUUAAACAAAACCUUAGAUUGUGAAUCUAAUAACAAAGGCUUAAACCCUUUUAUUUACC